GCGGGUAUAGUUUAAUGGUAAAAUUUUUCUUUGCCAAGGAAGAGAUCCGGGUUCGAUUCCCGCUACCCGC
rnacentral:tRNA from 1 species